AAGGGAGUAGCAUCUUUCUGGAUACAGAUUGUGCUUCUUUCCUGUUAUUGCUGGCCAUUGGAAGGGUGCUGGUAUCUGACUGCAAAGUCAGUGGGACAGAGAUCGGGGUCUUGCUGGACAACCCUGGAGCAACAGAGACUCAGUCCCAACUAGAGGGCUUAGGAACUGCAGAAACAGCUACUGCUUGGGCUCAAUUCCAGACCACCAGUGGGUUUCCUGGAUGUUUCUUUGGGUAUGUGGUGACAAAGGUGUUCAGGAUCCUUGCUGUGGUUGUAAAAACCUUUUUACCUAGGUUAUAAACAGAUGUAGAUAAUGGACCUACCAGAUGGAGAAUGAAAUCUUGAAAGCAGAACUGAGAUCUGUAUUUCCAACUGAGAAAGCCAAAUACUGUAAAUAUAUAUAUUUGGACCCUGGACAUCUUUCCAAAAUCCCAGGGGAGAGGCAUUCCUGUUGGAUCAAGCACUUCAGUGGCUAGUGUAUGCUUCAUGCCAUUACCACAAGGAAUAUGGUGGCCUGGCACAUGGUAAUGGUGCUAAGGACAAGGCUGUCUAGUUGAGACAUCAUGGGUGAAAUGGUGGUGUGGCAAGGCCAUACACGGGAGUCAUCUACAAGGAUUACUGUCCAAGGAAAUCUUACACCUCCUUGGAAAGCAUGGACUCGAAUUCAGAAGUUUUUGGCUUUCCAAAGAGCUGCAAGUAGCUCUCACCUAGUGCUCUAAUGAUAGACUGGCUGCUAGCGGUUGGCAUGCUGGCAUACGUGCAGCUGGAUGUGCACACACACAAGCACAUGUGUAUGCUUCACUAUCUUGCUCCAUGUACUUUGACCUUCAGCACCAAAGUAGGACUCAUCUCUGUCUACAGAUUUAUGUCAAAGCUGCCAUAUCUUCAUCACUCACCAGCCCUUCGCAUCAGACAAAGGGCCUGUGUCACCUUUCCUCUCUUUCCUUCUGAGUCUCCUUUCUAGCACGAGCUUUUAGAGCUAUGAUAAACAGCAAUGAGCUGUACACAGCGUAAAGAUAACCCAAAUGACAAUGUCAAAUCUGCAUUCAUUCCAUGUGUAAGUGUUACUGAAGGAGAAGAUGCCAGGGAAGGGUGAUCAGAACUGGGAAAAAAAAAAAAAAGAAAAAAGAGGGCCAGCUACAAUGGAAAUAGGAUGAGGCUAACCCAAAUUUCAGUUAAAUAAAAACUUAUUAAACUUCUACUUCAGUUUUGGGAGACACCUCAGCCAGAACCUUAUUUUAGAAUACUCAUGGAGGACAGCUCAUUGUCUCAGAAUGUGUUUUCAGUGGAAAAACCUCACUGCCGCAGUGCUUCUAGGGCUAGAGAGUUGCAGUUUUGCAGAUUACUCCAUCAUGUAUGUAAAAAGAUCAUUCAUAAAAGGAGAGGAGUGUGUGCUUUUGGCAGCUUGAUUGGACCUGCCCCUGGGAGAAACUUCCUGGAAUACUGGUCUGCCCUUUUCUGGAAGACACUGGGAAAUGAAAAAGGAUCAAGAAAAGACAACUGUAAUAAAAGGGAAGGACCAGCACUGUAAGUGUCAGGGGCAGAGACCCUGUGGUGUUUGAUAAGUGCCUUAGUGCAGCAGUGGGACUUCAUGGCCUGCUGCAUCUUUGUCCCCUUAGAGAAAAGGUGGAAGAACGGGACCCAGCUUACAAAUAUACUAGGAAA